UACGGAGGGUGCGAGCGUUGUCCGGAAUCACUGGGCGUAAAGGGCGCGUAGGCGGCAUGCCAAGCGUGUGGUGAAAGCCCGGGGUUCAACCCCGGGUCGGCCGUGCGGACUGGCGUGCUCGAGCACUGUAGGGGCGGGUGGAAUUCCGGGUGUAGCGGUGGAAUGCGUAGAGGAUCCGGAAGAACACCGGUGGCGAAGGCGGCCCGCUGGGCAGGAAGGCUCGCAAGAGCCGGCUGACGCUGAGGCGCGACAGCGUGGGGAGCAAAC
rnacentral:rRNA from 1 species